AACGAACGCUGGCGGCGUGCUUAACACAUGCAAGUCGAGCGGUAAGGCCCUUUCGGGGGUACACGAGCGGCGAACGGGUGAGUAACACGUGGGUGACCUGCCCUCAGCUCUGGGAUAAGCCUGGGAAACUGGGUCUAAUACCGGAUAUGACUCCAUGACGCAUGUUGUGGGGUGGAAAGCCUUGUGCGGCUGAGGAUGGGCCCGCGGCCUAUCAGCUUGUUGGUGGGGUGAGGCCUACCAAGGCGACGACGGGUAGCCGGCCGUGAGAGGGCGACCGGCCACACUGGGACUGAGACACGGCCCAGACUCCUACGGGAGGCAGCAGUGGGGAAUCUUGCGCAAUGGGCGAAAGCCUGACGCAGCGACGCCGCGUGAGGGAUGACGG
rnacentral:rRNA from 1 species